ensembl:lncRNA
GGGUUUUUUGGGUGGAUUUUGAUUGAAUUUUUGGGGUUUUUUGGGUGGAUUUUGGUUGAAUUUUUGGGGUUUUUUGGGUGGAUUUUGGUUGAAUUUUUUUGAAUUUUUUGGGUGGAUUUUGGUUGAAUUUUUGGGGUUUUUUUGUGGAUUUUGGUUGAAUUUUUGGAGUUUUUUGGGUGGAUUUUGAUUGAAUUUUGGGGAGUUUUUGGGUGGAUUUUGGUUGAAUUUUUGGGGUUUUUUGGGUGGAUUUUGGUUGAAUUUUUGGGGUUUUUUGGGUGGAUUUUAAUUGAAUUUUUGGGGUUUUUUGGGUGAAUUUUGAUUGAAUUUUUGGGGUUUUUGGGGAUUUUUUUGGAUGGAUUUUGGUUGAAUUUUGGGUGUUUUUUCAGUAGAUUUUAGGAAUUUUUUGGGAAUUUUUUUGUAGAUUUUGAUUGUUUUUUGUAUGAAUUUUAAUUAAUUUUUAAGCAGAUUUUUUUGGUAGCUUUGGAUUUUUUUGGGGAUUUUUCUUCCAAUUUUAGUUCCUUUUUUGGGGUCAUUUUAAGGCAAUUUUUCUACAAAUUUUAGGAUUUUUUUGGGAUUUUUCUUUCAAUUUUAGUUCCUUUUUUUGAUUCUUUUUUUGGCUGAUUUUUCCAUAAAUUUUGGGAUUUUUUUGGGAUAAUUUCCUCAAAAAUUCCCAUUUUUUUUGCUUUUUUUCCCCCUUUUUCCCCCUUUUGGAUUUUGGGGAUUUUUUCUGCAGAUUUGGGGAUUUUUGGGGGGAUUUUUCUUCCAAUUUUAGUUCCUUUUUUGGGGUCAUUUUCAGGCAAUUUUUCUACAGAAUUUGGGAUUUUUGGGGGAUUUUUCUUCCAAUUUUGGCUCCUUUUUUGGGUUUUUUUAGGAAUUUUUUUCUGUAAAUUUUGGGAUUUUUUUUUAGGAUUUUUUUGGCAGAUUUGGGAUUUUUUUGGGAUUUUUCUUUCAAUUUUAGUUCCUUUUUUUGACUCUUUUUUUUUGGCUGAUUUUUCCAUAAAUUUUGGGAUUUUUUUUGGGGAUAAUUUCCUCAAAAAUUCCCAUUUUUUUUUUGCUUUUUUUUCCCCCUUUUCCCCCCUUUUGGAUUCUGGGGAAUUUUUUGGGGGUCCCCAUUGGAUUUUUGGGGGUCACUGGGGGUCUCCUGCCAGCAGCCGGGGUCGGGGGAGGUCCCCAAACAUUUCGGUNNNNNNNNNNNNNNNNNNNNACAUUUCGGUUCCGUCGCCCCCUCCCCGCAGCGCCAGGGCUCUCAUGGAGGCCGCGAUUCGCUCCAGGUCCGGGGGGGCCUGGGGGGACACAAAAUUUGGGGUUUUUUGGGGGGUUCUGAACCCUAAAAUUAUCCUAAAUAAUCCCUAAAAUUGUCCUGAAUAAUCCCCAAAAUUGUCCUGAAUAAUCCCUAAAAUUAUCCUAAAUAAUCCCCAAAAUUAUCCUAAAUAAUCCCCAAAAUUGUCCUGAAUAAUCCCUAAAAUUAUCCUAAAUAAUCCCCAAAAUUAUCCUAAAUAAUCCCCAAAAUUGUCCUGAAUAAUCCCUGAAAUUAUCCUAAAUUAUCCCAAAAAUAUCCUGAAUAAUCCCCCAAAAUUAUCCUAAAUAAUCCCCAAAAUUGUCCUAAAUAAUCUCUAAAAUUAUCCUAAAUUAUCCCAAAAAUAUCCUGAAUAAUCCUCAAAAUAAUUGUAAAUAAUCCCCCAAAAUUAUCCUAAAUAAUCCCCAAAAUUAUCCUAAAUUAUCCCAAAAAUAUCCUGAAUAAUUGCCCAAAAUUAUCCUAAAUAAUUCUAUUUAAAUCCCAAAAUAAUCGUAAAUAAUCCCCAUAAAAACAUCAAAAUUUGGUGUUUUUUGGGGGGUUCUGAACCCUAAAAUUAUCUUAAAAAAAUCCCUAAAAUUAUCCUAAAUUAUCCCAAAAAUAUCCUGAAUAAUCCCCCAAAAUUAUCUUAAAUAAUCCCCAAAAUUUUCCUGAAUAAUCCCCAAAAUUGUCCUGAAUAAUCCCCAAAAUUAUCCUAAAUAAUUCUAUUUAAAUCCCAAAAUAAUCCAAAAUAAUCCCCAUAAUAACAUCAAAAUUUGGGGUUUUUUUGAAGGUUCUGAACCCUAAAAUUAUCCUAAAAAAAACCCUAAAAUUAUCCUAAAUUAUCCCAAAAAUAUCCGGAAUAAUCCCCAAAAUUAUCCUAAAUAAUCCCCAAAAUUGUCCUGAAUUAUCCCAAAAAUAUCCUGAAUAAUCCUCAAAAUAAUUGUAAAUAAUCCCCCAAAAUUAUCCUAAAUUAUCCCAAAAAUAUCCUGAAUAAUCCUCAAAAUAAUUGUAAAUAAUCCCCAAAAUUACCCCAAAUAAUUCCCUUUAAACCCUGAAAUUUGGGGAUUUUUGGGGGGU